rnacentral:misc_RNA from 1 species
GAAAUGCGAUAAGUAAUGUGAAUUGCAGAAUUCAGUGAAUCAUCGAAUCUUUGAACGCACCUUGCGCUCCUUGGUAUUCCUUGGAGCAUGCCUGUUUGAGUAUCAUGAAAUCUUCAAAGUAAAUCUUUUGUUAACUCAAUUGGUUUCUACUUUGGUAUUGGAGGUCUUUGCAGCUUCACACCUGCUCCUCUUUGUUCAUUAGCUGGAUCUCAGUGUUAUGCUUGGUUCCACUCGGCGUGAUAAGUUAUCUAUCGCUGAGGACACUGUAAAAGGUGGCCAAGGUAAAUGCAGAUGAACCGCUUCUAAUAGUCCAUUGACUUGGACAAUACUUUUAUGAUCCGAUCUCAAAUCAGGUAGGACUACCCGCCGAACUUAAGC